GCUUCGUCUGAGGCUUAGGCUUAGGC
rnacentral:miRNA from 1 species